rnacentral:rRNA from 1 species
UGGGGAAUAUUGGACAAUGGGCGAAAGCCUGAUCCAGCCAUGCCGCGUGUGUGAAGAAGGUCUUCGGAUUGUAAAGCACUUUAAGUUGGGAGGAAGGGCAGUAAGCUAAUACCUUGCUGUUUUGACGUUACCGACAGAAUAAGCACCGGCUAACUCUGUGCCAGCAGCCGCGGUAAUACAGAGGGUGCAAGCGUUAAUCGGAAUUACUGGGCGUAAAGCGCGCGUAGGUGGUUUGUUAAGUUGGAUGUGAAAGCCCCGGGCUCAACCUGGGAACUGCAUCCAAAACUGGCAGGCUAGAGUACGGUAGAGGGUGGUGGAAUUUCCUGUGUAGCGGUGAAAUGCGUAGAUAUAGGAAGGAACACCAGUGGCGAAGGCGACCACCUGGACUGAUACUGACACUGAGGUGCGAAAGCGUGGGGAGCAAACA